UACGUAGGGGGCAAGCGUUAUCCGGAUUUACUGGGUGUAAAGGGAGCGUAGACGGCAAGGCAAGUCUGAUGUGAAAGGCUGGGGCUCAACCCCGGGACUGCAUUGGAAACUGUCCUGCUGGAGUGCCGGAGAGGUAAGCGGAAUUCCUAGUGUAGCGGUGAAAUGCGUAGAUAUUAGGAGGAACAUCAGUGGCGAAGGCGGCUUACUGGACGGUAACUGACGUUGAGGCUCGAAAGCGUGGGGAGCAAACAGG
rnacentral:rRNA from 1 species